ensembl:lncRNA
CAAAAAAUAAAAUCAGUAAGAGACAGAAACGAAGACAGGUCCGUUUUUUUCAUUUUCUGAGACCGGAAGUGGUCAUCAGCAAGUGUGGAGCCAAACGACAACAAGAUUCUCAGAGGGCGGAGCCAGAGAGCAGUGAUUGGUCAGACCAUAGCUAGCGUAUCUAGUCUUCUAUGCAUAUCUAUGGUCGGCACAUCUGGUAGCAUCUCUGGCUGCUGUUGACCUUGUUUUUGGAGUAAAACACGGUGGAAGCUGAAUUAGUGAGGAUGACUCCUGCUCCUGUCAUCUCUAAGCUCCUCACACAUCUUUACCUGCACAUGAGGAAAAUCACUCCUGUAGAAUGCAGUGGUUCAUCAGAACCUCUGGGGAUGUCCUGUGGAUUCUGUGGAUCCUGUGGGUUGCAGGGUGGGUCCUACCUAGACCAGGCUGAUCCUGGACCAUCCCACAGAUGCUCCAUCAGAUCUGGAUGUGGGGAGUGUGGAACCCAGAUGUUCAGAGGGAGAUGAUGCCACAUCUGGUCCAGCCGAUGGAAGGUCUUGAAGUUCUCUGACUGGCCUGGACUGAAGAUGGUCGUCUCACUGGAUUUAAGGAUUACCACAGACCUGACCGUGAACACCGUUGACACCCACCUGAGGGAGACGCUGCCUAAGAUCUCAAGGCUGCUUGGUCGUGGUCUUUCUGGUCCUGCUCCAGAACGCCUUCAUCAACUACAUCUUCUUUUGAAGAGGCCCUCAGAUGCUGCAAUCUCUGACCUUAAGGAGGAACUGCUACUUUCACUCUGUAACGAGACAGCGGUUAUUUUAAAGACCCAGCUCCUGGCGGCUUUGAGUCAAAGUUUAACACCCAUCAAAACGGAACUACAGACAGUUAAAUCUGAGCUGUCGGUCAGUAUUUCAAACAUCAAGUCCGACCCGGCUGCCCUAAAGCACGCUGUGAGUGAAACGGAAACUUCACUCUCCACAUCACCGACGACAUCGUCACACUCCAAAGCAGAGCACCUGUCUGCUGAACUUUUAAAAGUGGACAAUAAAUGUGAAGAAUGUGAGCAGUAGCAGACUGUGAGCAGCGGAACAGAUGUGAUC